AUUGAACGCUGGCGGCAUGCCUUACACAUGCAAGUCGAACGGCAGCACGGGAGCAAUCCUGGUGGCGAGUGGCGAACGGGUGAGUAAUAUAUCGGAACGUGCCCAGUAGUGGGGGAUAACUGCUUGAAAGAGCAGCUAAUACCGCAUACGACCUGAGGGUGAAAGGGGGGGAUCGCAAGACCUCUCGCUAUUGGAGCGGCCGAUAUAAGAUUAGGUAGUUGGUGGGGUAAAGGCCUACCAAGGCAACGAUCUGUAGUUGGUCUGAGAGGACGACCAGCCACACUGGGACUGAGACACGGCCCAGACUCCUACGGGAGGCAGCAGUGGGGAAUUUUGGACAAUGGGCGCAAGCCUGAUCCAGCAAUGCCGCGUGCAGGAAGAAGGCCUUCGGGUUGUAAACUGCUUUUGUCAGGGAAGAAAUCCUCUAGGUUAAUACCCUUGGGGGGAUGACGGUACCUGAAGAAUAAGCACCGGCUAACUACGUGCCAGCCGCCGCAGUAACAC
rnacentral:rRNA from 1 species